GAGAGCAGAGCAGCAGAGACCACCUGAGAACACCAGAGAGCCCAGACAGAGUGAGAACUUGCUGCCAGCCUCCCGGCCCCCCAGCACCCCUGCCUGCUGUGUGCCUGAAUGCCUUGGUACAGUUGACCUUCAUGUCUCCUUGGGCUCCUCUUGGCUGUGACAGUUCCUCAGACUUUCCUUGUUUUCCAUGAUGACCUGGGCAGUUUUGGUAUGGACACUCAGGAAGUUCCUGCAGCCUGGGUCAUAUUACAAGAAACCACAAAAGAAGAAGCGACGUCCUGGAAAUGGGAGGCGCAGUGUAGGACA